rnacentral:rRNA from 1 species
UAACGCGUGAUGGCGAGGACUCUAGCGAGACUGCCGGUGUCAAACCGGAGGAAGGUGGGGAUGACGUCAAGUCCUCAUGGCCCUUAUGUCCAGGGAUGCAAACGUGCUACAAUGGCGUGGACAGAGCGACGCGAGACCGCGAGGUGGAGCAAAUCGCAAAAACCACGCCCCAGUUCGGAUUGCAGGCUGCAAUUCGCCUGCAUGAAGCCGGAAUCGCUAGUAAUCGCGUAUCAGCUACGACGCGGUGAAUACGUUCCUGAGCCUUGUACACACCGCCCGUCACGUCAUGGAAGCUGGCAGCGCCCGAAGUCACCUCAAAUCAGGGGUGCCUACGGCGAGGCUGGUAACUGGGACGAAGUCGUAACAAGGUAGCCGUAGGAGAACCUGCGGCUGGAUCACCUCCUUUCUAAGG